UACGAAGGGGGCUAGCGUUGUUCGGAAUCACUGGGCGUAAAGCGCACGUAGGCGGAUGUGCCAGUCAGGGGUGAAAUCCUGGAGCUCAACUCCAGAACUGCCCUUUGAUACUGAGGAUCUUGAGUACGGGAGAGGUGAGUGGAACUGCGAGUGUAGAGGUGAAAUUCGUAGAUAUUCGCAAGAACACCAGUGGCGAAGGCGGACUCACUGGCC
rnacentral:rRNA from 1 species